ACCAGAGACAGAAUUCAUCUGUGUUUAUAUUUUGCAGACAAUGAAAACUCUACUCCUUGCAUGCCUGUUUUUCCUUAUUAUAUCACAGAAAGUGUGAAACUGCGGCAUUUCUCUACUUCUAAUGGCCGCUUUCCAUCCAGCACUGUAGAUAAUGCUUUUGGUGCCUUUUUCCUUAAGUACUCACAAAUUCUGUGCACGCCAUCUUUGUCUACUGUCAUUCCUGUAUAAUUUGUGAUAUCUGCCUUCAGAAAACUGAUGAGAAUAACUUGACUAUAAGAGAAGGAGUGUGGUGACUGCUUUAUAUCGAACAUGGCAUUUAAAUAACGACUGUGAAAAGCGUACUAUCUUUUAUCUGGGUAUUUUGGAUCUUCAUGUACUAGGAGCAGUGUUGCUGCAGUUAUGCCACUGGAAACUACUCCAAACAACAGAACUAGAACUCUUACGACUGUGCAAGACAGAGAAUUCAGAGUGACAACUCCAGAAAAAGCACAUCAAGAGACUGAGGAAAACAAGAUAAUCUGCCAGAGGAGGCAGGCCAGGCUCACCAGAUGGUGGGAUAAGUACACUGUACUGCUGGAAUUAAUGUGAUACUGUAAUAAAACUGUGUACCACAUCA